rnacentral:miRNA from 1 species
CUUCCGAUCAGCGAGGUACAUCUACCUCGUUGACCAGAAGAGUUUCCUUCCGGUCAACGAGGAUGUACCUCGUUGAUUGGAAGGAACCCCUUCCAAUCAAGAGGUAGAUGUACCUCCCUGAUCGGAAG